AAAACACAGCCCAGCACGUAUUGCUUUAAUUACCUGGUUUGCUCAUCUUCCCCGUUUCUCUCCGUGACUCUCGACUUCCCCACUAGAAACGCACAUUAAAUAGAUGGGGGCAAAAUCAUCCACCUUCAUCAGCCGUAGAGGGAUCUGAUUCUCCCUCCGCCAUCUUCUCCAUUCACAUCAUCACAACAACAAUCGGGUGUCUGCACUGUUUCUCCAAAUUCGUUGAUUUCGCUCCCAGCGAGUCAACGCGAGUUGAAGCCCUUGCCGCCGUGAACAUGUGCUGGGCGGGACAAAUUGGAGCCCUCGCCGCCGCCGCCGCGCCGCUGCCGCGAACGCUUUCUAGGCAAACCCAAAUCCCUCUACAUGUACACCUUCAUCAAGCCAAACUGAAAACCCCACCGUGACUCAUCUCCUUCAGGUGCGAUGUUGUUGUGCUCUGGCUCCUCUUCCUGCCGCCGGCCUCCCCACGCCGGUCGUCAAAGCCGCUCCCUCAUGCCGUUCCUCGGCUCCGAGUCCUCCUUGCGGCGCGACAUCGGACGCUCUGGACGCGGUGGUGUCCCCAUCGCGACCCCAAUUAGUGCGGGAUCCAGCAGGAUGCCCUCAGGAAUGAGCAGGACGCCGGCGUCUCCCGCCGCCACCAUGGUCUGCAAGCCAUCCCCGUCACGGCCCCGAAUUGGAAGGAGCAGUUUUUUUUCUCGGUUUAACAUACAACCAUGAUAUUUCUCUCGACACAACAGGUUGCACUUUGGAAGUAAAGUUUGUUUCACAUGCUAAGCUUUGCAGGUAGUAUUGAUAAAUGAUAUUCUUACCUUAUGGAUAAUAUUUUUUCUUCAUUCUGGGCAGGCUAAUUCAUACCCAGUUUAUGUUAUUGCCUACCUCUCUUUUCUUAUGAAGCUGUACGUUUUGGCAUGGCAAAUUGGGAUAAUCUGUUUGGUGAUUAUUGAGUUAAAUGUUUGCCUAUGUUGGUGUACAGCUGGUCAUCUUGCUGAUCUUGAUUUGCCAUCUCCUUUUCUCAGUCAGGUUUGAUGUAGAUUCAUAUAAAUAGAUUUAUGUAAAAUUACAGUCUUCUCAUGUGAUUUGCAGGACUACAUAUGGAGGCAAAUAAAUUUUCCAUGUAUGUUCUCCACAUUUGUGUAACAUUUUUAUGUCGUAUGGGGCUGGACCAUAGCAUUGAUUUCCUUUUAUUUGACCAUAUGAAUAUGAAUAGGUGGUGAUAUUGGGUUGUUCGUAGACAGGCAUCACUAACAGACAGUAGACUACUACACUUUUAAUGAGGUGGGUAAUAUAUAUCUUCCAAUUAACCAAAUCUGUAGGAUGUUAAUGGAAUUUGAAUAUAGUCCAUAUUUUACAUUAUUUA